UUUAUGGAGAGUUUGAUCCUGGCUCAGGAUGAACGCUGGCGGCGUGCCUAAUACAUGCAAGUCGAGCGAACGGACGAGAAGCUUGCUUCUCUGAUG
rnacentral:rRNA from 1 species